rnacentral:rRNA from 1 species
GACGAACGCUGGCGGCGUGCCUAAUACAUGCAAGUCGAACGCAGUGGGGACGGGUGAGUAACACGUGGGUAACCUCCCAUCAGAGGGGAUAACACUUGGAAACAGGUGCUAAACCGAUACUGAUGGAUGAACCCGCGUGGCAUUAGCUAGUUGGUGCGGUAACGGAUCACCAAGGCCACGAUGCAUAGCCGACCGCAGGUGAGGAUCGGCGACACUGGGACUGAGACACGUCCCAUACUCCUACUCGAGGCAGCGUGAGGGAAUCUUCGGCAAUGGACGAAAGUCUGACCGAGCAACGCCGCGUGAGUGAAGAAGGUUUUCGGUUCGUAAAACUCUGUUGUUAGAGAAGCGGUAUCUAACCAGAAAGCCACGGCUAACUACGUGCCAGCAGCCGCGGUAAUUC